UACGUAGGGUGCAAGCGUUGUCCGGAAUUAUUGGGCGUAAAGAGCUCGUAGGCGGUCUGUUGCGUCGGCUGUGAAAACCCGGGGCUCAACUCCGGGCCUGCAGCCGAUACGGGCAGACUAGAGUUCGGCAGGGGAGACUGGAAUUCCUGGUGUAGCAGUGAAAUGCGUAGAUAUCAGGAGGAACACCGAUGGCGAAGGCAGGUCUCUGGGCUGACACUGACGCUCAUGCACGAAAGCGUGGGGAGCAACAGGG
rnacentral:rRNA from 1 species